CCGGCGACCGGCGCACGGGUGAGUAACACGUAUGCAACCUGCCCUCUUCAGGGGGACAACCUUCCGAAAGGGAGGCUAAUCCCGCGUAUAUCGGUUUCGGGCAUCCGAGAUCGAGGAAAGAUUCAUCGGAAGCGGAUGGGCAUGCGGCGCAUUAGCUAGACGGCGGGGUAACGGCCCACCGUGGCGACGAUGCGUAGGGGUUCUGAGAGGAAGGUCCCCCACACUGGUACUGAGACACGGACCAGACUCCUACGGAAGGCAGCAG
rnacentral:rRNA from 1 species